UACGUAGGGGGCAAGCGUUGUCCGGAUUUAUUGGGCGUAAAGAGCGUGUAGGCGGUUUGGUAGGUCCGCUGUGAAAACUCGAGGCUCAACCUCGAGACGCCGGUGGAAACCAUCAGACUAGAGUCCGGAAGAGGAGAGUGGAAUUCCUGGUGUAGCGGUGAAAUGCGCGGAUAUCAGGAAGAACACCCGUGGCUAAGGCGGCUCUCUAGUACGGUACUGACGCUGAGACGCGAAAGCGUGGGGAGCGAACAGG
rnacentral:rRNA from 1 species